rnacentral:rRNA from 1 species
AUUGAACGCUGGCGGCAGGCCUAACACAUGCGAGUCGAGCGGAUGAAGGGAGCUUGCUCCUGGAUUCAGCGGCGGACGGGUGAGUAAUGCCUAGGAAUCUGCCUGGUAGUGGGGGAUAACGUCCGGAAACGGGCGCUAAUACCGCAUACGUCCUGAGGGAGAAAGUGGGGGAUCUUCGGACCUCACGCUAUCAGAUGAGCCUAGGUCGGAUUAGCUAGUUGGUGGGGUAAAGGCCUACCAAGGCGACGAUCCGUAACUGGUCUGAGAGGAUGAUCAGUCACACUGGAACUGAGACACGGUCCAGACUCCUACGGGAGGCAGCAGCGGGGAAUAUUGGACAAUGGGCGAAAGCCUGAUCCAGCCAUGCCGCGUGUGUGAAGAAGGUCUUCGGAUUGUAAAGCACUUUAAGUUGGGAGGAAGGGCAGUAAGUUAAUACCUUGCUGUUUUGACGUUACCAACAGAAUAAGCACCGGCUAACUUCGUG